CCCUGAUCCAGCCAUGCCGCGUGUGUGAAGAAGGCCUUUUGGUUGUAAAGCACUUUAAGCAGUGAAGAAGACUCCAUGGUUAAUACCCAUGGACGAUGACAUUAGCUGCAGAAUAAGCACCGGCUAACUCUGUGCCAGCAGCCGCGGUAAUACAGAGGGUGCAAGCGUUAAUCGGAAUUACUGGGCGUAAAGCGAGCGUAGGUGGCUUGAUAAGUCAGAUGUGAAAUCCCCGGGCUUAACCUGGGAACUGCAUCUGAUACUGUUAGGCUAGAAUAGGUGAGAGGAAGGUAGAAUUCCAGGUGUAGCGGUGAAAUGCGUAGAGAUCUGGAGGAAUACCGAUGGCGAAGGCAGCCUUCUGGCAUCAUAUUGACACUGAGGUUCGAAAGCGUGGGUAGCAAACAGGAUUAGAUACCCUGGUAGUCCACGCCGUAAACGAUGUCUACUAGUCGUUGGGUCCCUUGAGGACUUAGUGACGCAGCUAACGCAAUAAGUAGACCGCCUGGGGAGUACGGCCGCAAGGUUAAAACUCAAAUGAAUUGACGGGGGCCCGCACAAGCGGUGGAGCAUGUGGUUUAAUUCGAUGCAACGCGAAGAACCUUACCUGGUCUUGACAUAUCUAGAAUCCUGCAGAGAUGCGGGAGUGCCUUCGGGAAUUAGAAUACAGGUGCUGCAUGGCUGUCGUCAGCUCGUGUCGUGAGAUGUUGGGUUAAGUCCCGCAACGAGCGCAACCCUUGUCCUUAGUUACCAGCGGGUUAAGCCGGGAACUCUA
rnacentral:rRNA from 1 species